GACGGAGGGUGCAAGCGUUGUUCGGAUUUACUGGGCGUAGAGCGCACGCAGGCGGCUAUGUAAGUCGGAUGUGAAAGCCCCUGGCUCAACCAGGGAACUGCAUUCGAAACUACAUGGCUUGAGUUUGGGAGAGGGAAGCGGAAUUCCUAGUGUAGAGGUGAAAUUCGUAGAUAUUAGGAGGAACACCGGUGGCGAAGGCGGCUUCCUGGCCCAAUACUGACGCUCAGGUGCGAAAGCGUGGGGAGCAAACAGG
rnacentral:misc_RNA from 1 species